rnacentral:rRNA from 1 species
UACGUAGGGGGCUAGCGUUGUCCGGAAUCAUUGGGCGUAAAGAGCGUGUAGGCGGUCCGGUAAGUCCGCUGUGAAAGUCGGGGGCUCAACCCUCGAAUGCCGGUGGAUACUGUCGGGCUAGAGUGCGGAAGAGGCGAGUGGAAUUCCUGGUGUAGCGGUGAAAUGCGCAGAUAUCAGGAGGAACACCAAUAGCGAAGGCAGCUCGCUGGGACGUUACUGACACUAAGGCGCGAAAGCGUGGGGAGCGAACAGG